UACGGAUUUUUCAAAUGGCAACAUCUUAGAUUCAGGUGGUGAAAAGAAUUAUAUUGCUUCAAGUUUGAAUGAGACCAUUUGCCGGCAAAACUGUAGCAUCAUUUCCGACCUGGACAAAUGCGAUUUGUGUACCGGUUAUCUGUACAACUACACUUGCAUAGUAUGCAAUUGCUUGAAUCACGGUCAGUGUACUGAAGAUGGCACCUGCAACUGCCAGAAAGGAUUCCACGGAGACAAGUGUCAGCAUA